CUGUUUUGCUGUUUUUCGCCGUCGACCGUUGGUAUUUCAGCUCGUUCUCGGCGUAGGAACGUCGGAUCGCGACGAGGCUUGGUUCGUUGGAUUCGGGACUGCGAGAGGAAUCCACGAAGCCCUUACUUGCUGGAUUUGGUGAAGCUUGGAGUAGCUCGAGUGCUAGACUUGGAGGGUUCCCGUGGAUCCAGCAGGGGUCACUUUGGUUCGAGGCCUUGUUCGCUACCAGGAGCUAGCUUCUUGAGAGCCACAGGUUCCGGCUGCUGCACCGUCCGCGGACCAGGAUCGAGGCAAGGGCGUCG